rnacentral:rRNA from 1 species
ACGCUAGCGAAUGCCUAACACAUGCAAGUCGAACGGACCUUGCCUUGUGCUUGCACAAAGUAAGGUUAGUGGCAAACGAGCGAGUAACGCGUGCUUAACCUGCCCCGAAGAUGGGAAUAACUGCAGAGAUGUAGCUAAUUCCCAAUAUGCUCACGAUGGUGAAAUUCCGAUGUGAGGAAAGAUUUAUCGCUCCGGGAGGGGGGUGCGUCCUAUCAGGUAGUUGGUAAGGUGAUGGCUUACCAAGCCUAUGACGGGUAACCGGUCUGAGAUGAUGUCCGGUCGCGAUGGGACUGAGAUACGGCCCAUACUCCUACGGGAGGCAGCAGUGGGGAAUCUUGCACAAUGGACGAAAGUCUGAUGCAGCAAUUUCGCGUGAAGGAUGAAGCAUUACGGUGUGUAAACUUCCUUUUUGGAGGAAGACGAAUGACGGUACUUCAAGAAUAAGAGACGGCUAACUACGUGCCAGCAGCCGCGGUAAUACGUAGGUCUCAAGCGUUAUCCGGAUUUACUGGGCGUAAAGUGUCCGUAGCCUGAUCUGUAAGUCUGUUUUCAAAUCCUACGACUCAAUCGUAGAAAGGGAAUGGAUACUGCAGAUCUAGAAGUAUCUAGGGGUUAGUGGAAUUUCCGGUGGAGCGGUGAAAUGCGUUGAUAUCGGAAGGAACGCCGAAAGCGAAAGCAGCUAACUAUAGAAUACUUGACGAUGAGGGACGACAGUUUGGGGAGCAAACAGGAUUAGAUACCCUGGUAGUCCAAACCGUAAAUUAUGCUUGCUAGAUGUUUUUAUCAAUUUAUUGGUAGGAGUGUCGUAAUCUAACGAGUUAAGCAAGCCGCCUGGGUAGUAUAUUCGCAAGAAUGAAACUCAAAGGGAUAGGCGGGGGAACACACAAGCAGUGGAUUAUCUAGAUUAAUUGGAUAAUAAG